GUCGAAUAAUCAACUUCCUAUGAGGAAACUCAAGCUGAAAUCAACUGCAGGUGAACUUCUCUGUAGACUAUGCUUAUUAGAAACAAAAAGGUGAAAGGGUGAUAUGUAAGCGCUGAAUCAAUGCAAAGAAUUGAAAUAAGCAUGGAAUCAUUGUAUAUUUCCUCUUUGCAAUGCAUGUUCUUCAUGGAUAAUCUUGGUUGAACGGCAUCAGUCUCUGCAUGGGUUGGUAUAUAUGACUGGAAAAGCCUUUGGCUAAAUGAUUGUCUUGUUGUUUUCCUUUUUUACUUCCGUAAUUUGUUUCCUACUGGAAUUCUGAACUUUGACUGGUUUACACCUGAUCUUCUCCUUUGGCUUUGAAUUGGUGACAACAUAGCUUCUAAAUCUAUGUGCUUCGAAACUUGAGAUUGAUUUACCUGGACUUUCACCUGUGGCAGGACCUGACCAUCAGAAAAUGAUUUACAGCUGAAAGUUAGUUGAUUAAUAUCCAAUUGUUGAGCUCAACUCAGUGCAUCAAAAUUCAGUCUCAGUUCUUUUUUCUGCAUUUUGGCUGCCGGUUUGGGAAGGGGUUUUGGAAGUGAUUUCCGCAGUCGAUUUGUUGGGUGUUGGUCUUUUAUAUAUACAAGGCCACCAAAAGAGAGUGAUUUACUCGAGGCAAUAUCUGCAGUGACGUCUGGGGCCAUUUUGUUUGACAUCCUUUGUUUGACAUCUUGGUUGCAAUGAUUUCUGUGACAGGUAUUUGCCUGAUUUCUGAGCUUUUAUAUGUAGAACUUGGGGACAUUGAGAUGGUGCAAUUUGUGUUUCCUAUAUGGCUUGCUGUAUCUGUGUUAUUUGCAUUUCUCUUUUUGCUAUGCUAACUUGAGAUUCUUUCUUUUUUCAUGUGUAGUUUGUAGUCAAUUUCCCUAGCAUUACAUUUUUUAUUGGCCGGAUUUGUAGCUAUUGGACAUAAUUCAAGAUUUUUUUUUUUUUUUAAUGAAAAUAGAUUUGGUAAGAAUUUAUCAUGCAUCCACACUAGUUGCAUUGCAUGAAUGAAGACGCCUUGCGUAGAUUGUUGCAAGGGCACUUUGGAAGUUUUAUAGCAUGCAUGCCAAAAGAUGCCUUGAGUAGAGUGUAUAUACAAGGUUUAACAUUUCAUAUACUCUGAAAGAAACUUGAUGAAUUCAGUUUUCUUGUUUAAACACAUGUACCCGGUCAUUUUAAAUUAUACAACUAUGGACUUUGGGAACUUUUCUUUCCCAACCAAUUAUGACAAAUCUUUUUGUGAUGCGGACUUCCAUUUAUUAUUUUAUGUUUCCAUUUGGACUAUUAUUUAUGUUCUAUUAUUGGGCUUGUAUAAUGGGUAUGGCCCAAGCCCUUUACCUUUAGGAUUUUGUUUUACUAUUUAUAUUUGAUUUGUUGUUUAGUUGGGACAGUUUGAUAAUUAUGAUGAAUUGAGAUUGAUUGUGGCGUCUCCUUUCUUUCCCUUCCCCUUUCCCUCUGAAUUUCUGCUUCGUCUCUGGAUUCU
rnacentral:lncRNA from 1 species